CUUCAUGAUUUCUUCGGAUUGAAUAAAGGGACGGAAAGUGGCGAACGGGCGAGUAACGCGUGGGUAACCAACCUUAAACUGGGGGACAACACCGGGAAACCGGUGCUAAUACCGCAUAUAUCCCUGUGUGGCAUCACAUAGGGAGGAAAGCUCCGGCGGUUUAAGACGGACCCGCGUCCAAUUAGCUAGUAGGUGGGGUAAAGGCCUACCUAGGCAACGAUUGGUAGCCGGGCUGAGAGGCUGAACGGCCGCAUUGGGACUGAGACACGGCCCAGACUCCUACGGGAGGCAGCAGUGGGGAAUAUUGCGCAAUGGGGGAAACCCUGACGCAGCGACGCCGCGUGAAGGAUGAAGGUUUUCGGAUCGUAAACUUCUUUGAUCGGGGACGAAAGAGGACGG
rnacentral:rRNA from 1 species